rnacentral:misc_RNA from 1 species
AACUUAUCAACCGUGACUUGGGUUUAGGCCCCUGGCUCGGCUUGGAUUUGGGUGCUUGCGGCUCACGCUGCUCACCUUAAAAGGAUUAGCUGGACAUGUCGUGAGACUUGGUUCUACUUGGCGUAAUAAGUAUUUCGCUGAGGACAUCCCCCUGGGGUGGCCAUGACUCUGGUACAAACGUCUGCUUUCUAACCCGAUGGCUUCGGCCUCACUUUUUAUG